rnacentral:lncRNA from 1 species
AGAGGCUGGAUGAGUUUUCCUGUCUUAGGGGCUCUCUCUCCCCGGAGCAGCGGCAUGGGGUGACUGAGAAAAAACAAAAGGCUCUACUUAAGUCAACAGCUGGUAGUAACUAAAACAGUGGUCAGAGUGGUUGCAUGAUUGCCCAAAGCUUCACAGCUACUGGAAGAUGGAGCCUGGAUUUGAACUCAGCUGGAAAGUGGAUGUGAUGGCGGGAGCUGAAGCAGCCAUCUGACAUCACAGGAUGGAAGCUAUGUUUCCAGAAAAGCAGAGCAAAUAAGAGGAAACUGGGUCUCCAGCAUCAAGGAGUUACAUACCAACUCUGGAAAACCGAUGCUCAAACUUCUAUCAGGAAAAUUAACUUCCCAUUCUCAUGUCUCUUUUUUUCAGCAGCCUCAAUUGUAUCUUUUUUCUUUCUUUCUUUCUUUUCAGGGCUGUACCUGCAGCAUAUGGAAGUUCCAAGGCUAGGAGUCGAAUGGGAGCUUCAACUGCCAGCCUCAGCCAUAGCCACAGCAAUGCCAGAUCCUAGACAAGUCUGAGAUGUACACUGCAGCACACGGCAAUGCUGAAUCCUUAACCCACUGCCUGGGGCCAGGGUUCAAACCAGCAUCCUCAUGGAUACUAGUCAGAUUCAUUACUGCUGAGCCAUAACAGGAAUUCCUCAACUGUAUCUUAACUAAUAAAUCCCUAUUUGCAAUUGAGUCUGUGGCCCUUGGCUUAAUUGGAAUUGAAGUAUAAAGGAAAAACAAUUUAUAAUUUGCAAGUUAUUUUUCCUCAUAAACGGGACCUAUGUGGCCAGCAUCAAAUGGCAAAGCAAAUUGCACUGACAACUGAGAGGAGGCAUAAUUGUCAUUAUAGUUAAAGCAGUAUUGGAAGACCCUGGCCAUAUCUCUCAGGCUCUGUUUGUAGGUGGUGCAAUUUUCUGGCUGUGGAUGGUUUGUCUACGUGACUCCUGAGGGGCUGCUAUUGCCACAGCAACAUGUCUGGGGUCCACAGGCCACACUCUCUUCUCUUCUUCAUCUUUGAAGGCCACACUUAAGCAGGCAGCCCUCCCACGUUUUCUCGGCACUGACCACUGAGUUGAAGAGAAGUAGAAACUUCUCGGUUGGUAUUGUUCUGACUCCUAGGGGUCCAAGAGAGGCUCCCUGGUACUGAGCAUGAAACAAUUGGGGAUCCUCACAGUUUCAAUCUGAUCAGAACCCGCUGUACUAGAGGAGGGUAAAGGUCAGUUAUGAAAAUGAUCUAUGAUAAAAAAAGAACCUACUAAUUCCCCAGAGGCAGGUGCCAAAAAUGACAUGUUAUUGUGUUCUUUAGAAUGAUGAAGGAGAGUAUUGAAUGAGAUUUGGGUAAUAAUAAUGCCAAACUGUUUAGCUUGCCUGUGACAGAGCUCCCCAAACCAGUACUAUUUGGGGAAAUAGCAGGAGAACAGAAAAAACAAUUAAUGAGCACUUGAUGUGCCAUAAAUGUUAUGUAUGUUUUCUCAUGUAAUUAUCUCAAAAAUCCUAUGAGAUAGUAUAACUGCUUUUUUUUUUAAUUUUCUUAAAGCAGACAUGCUAAGAAAAGUUAAUGUGACAAAGAUCACACAGUUAGGAAGUAAAAAGCCUGGAUUUGGACACUCGAGUGACUGAUCUACAUUCCAUAUCAUGCAGUCUCAUGGAUGUGCUAAGGCUGGCCUGAUCAGAAGAAGGAGGCAUGGACAAAACUGCAGAGAAUAGAGGUAUCUGGGUGAGGAUGGCAGCCAGUAAUAGAUUCAGGAAAACAAGAAAAGAAAGUGGGAGAGAGACAUGUUGAAAAGACUGUACACCUGCAUGAGAUCAUCUUAAGGCCCCUACACGGUACAGAUCAAGAUGCAUGCAACUCUCUGGUCCCUGAGGAAGAAGGGAUUCUGGAAGAGCAAGGUGGUAGAUACACAUGGGGAGGGACUACCCGGCAGCAAGAUGAGAUAAAUCUGAAAAGAUAAAUUUUACUACGCUCUUUACAUUGAAGGAUAUUGCUGAUUAAUUGAUGGGUAUGAUUUGGAGUAGAGAAGGAAUUACAAAUUAAUACUUUGCCAGACAGAGGCGUUACCUUUUCUGCUUAUUUAAAUAAAUACGCUUUUG